rnacentral:rRNA from 1 species
CCUGAUGGCGAGUGGCGAACGGGUGAGUAAUACAUCGGAACGUGCCCAAUCGUGGGGGAUAACGCAGCGAAAGCUGUGCUAAUACCGCAUAAGAUCUACGGACGAAAGCAGGGGACCGCAAGGCCUUGCGCGAAUGGAGCGGCCGAUGGCAGAUUAGGUAGUUGGUGAGGUAAAGGCUCACCAAGCCUUCGAUCUGUAGCUGGUCUGAGAGGACGACCAGCCACACUGGGACUGAGACACGGCCCAGACUCCUACGGGAGGCAGCAGUGGGGAAUUUUGGACAAUGGGCGAAAGCCUGAUCCAGCCAUGCCGCGUGCAGGAUGAAGGCCUUCGGGUUGUAAACUGCUUUUGUACGGAACGAAAAGGUCUUUUCUAAUAAAGAGGGCCCAUGACGGUACCGUAAGAAUAAGCACCGGCUAACUACGUGCCAGCAGCCGCGGUAAUACGUAGGGUGCAAGCGUUAAUCGGAAUUACUGGGCGUAAAGCGUGCGCAGGCGGUUAUAUAAGACAGUUGUGAAAUCCCCGGGCUCAACCUGGGAACUGCAUCUGUGACUGUAUAGCUAGAGUACGGUAGAGGGGGAUGGAAUUCCGCGUGUAGCAGUGAAAUGCGUAGAUAUGCGGAGGAACACCGAUGGCGAAGGCAAUCCCCUGGAC